rnacentral:rRNA from 1 species
GGAUGAAUAUUGGGCAAUGGGCGAAAGCCUGACCCAGCAACGCCGCGUGAGGGAUGAAGGCCUUCGGGUUGUAAACCUCUUUUCUGGGAGAAGAGACAAGGACGGUAUCCCAGGAAUAAGUCUCGGCUAACUACGUGCCAGCAGCCGCGGUAAUACGUAGGAGGCAAGCGUUAUCCGGAUUCACUGGGCGUAAAGCGCACGCAGGCGGUUAUGUAAGUCGGACGUGAAAGCUCCUGGCUCAACUGGGAGA